GUCCACGCCCUAAACGAUGUCAACUGGUUGUUGGGAAUUCACUUUCUCAGUAACGAAGCUAACGCGUGAAGUUGACCGCCUGGGGAGUACGGCCGCAAGGUUAAAACUCAAAGGAAUUGACGGGGACCCGCACAAGCGGUGGAUGAUGUGGUUUAAUUCGAUGCAACGCGAAAACCUUACCCACCUUUGACAUGUAUGGAAGAUCGCAGAGACGCGAUUGUGCUCGAAAGAGAGCCAUAACACAGGUGCUGCAUGGCUGUCGU
rnacentral:rRNA from 1 species